GGGGCCGUGGAGUAGUCCGGCUUAUCUCACCUCCCUGUCACGGAGGAGAACGCGGGUUCAAAUCCCGUCGGUCCCGCCA
rnacentral:tRNA from 1 species